rnacentral:rRNA from 1 species
UACAGAGGUCUCAAGCGUUGUUCGGAUUCAUUGGGCGUAAAGGGUGCGUAGGCGGCGCGGUAAGUCGGGUGUGAAAGUCGAAGGCUUAACCUUCGAAAGCCGAUGGAUACUGCCGGGCUAGAGUACGGAAGAGGCGAGUGGAAUUCCUGGUGUAGCGGUGAAAUGCGCAGAUAUCAGGAGGAACACCAAUUGCGAAGGCAGCUCGCUGGGACGUUACUGACGCUGAGACGCGAAAGCGUGGGGAGCAAACAGG